rnacentral:RNase_P_RNA from 1 species
UAAGGAAUACAGAUGGUCGCGCCUAUUCGUACCGAAAGGUCUUAGGUGAGGAAAGUCCGGGCUUCGUAGGGCAGGAUGCCAGAUAACGUCUGGUGGAGGCGACUCUAAGGAAAGUGCAACAGAAAUAUACCGCAUAGUUUUACUAUGUAAGGGUGGAAUGGCGAGGUAAGAGCUCACCGCCUGGCUGGUAACAGGCAGGGCAUAUGUAAACCCCAUCCGAAGCAAGACCGAACAGAAAACGAUACGGCUGCCCGUCGUGUUUUCGGGUAGGUCGCUUGAGCCUAGUGGUGACAUUAGGACUAGAUAGAUGACCAUCUAAUACAGAACCCGGCUUAUAGUAUUCCUUACGAU